CCAGAUCAAAUGGGAGUAGGGGAUACCUGUGACCUCAGAGAGGACACUGCACAUGAGGGGGAUGCAGUUUUAGCACAACUGGGUGUGGAGGAGGGGGCGUUGUGAGAAGUCAAGUGCCUGGAUCUGUGUCAGACAAAGAGUCAGCAUGCAAAAGAGCUGAAGACAAAAUGUGAUUCUAGAAUUUUUACAUCAGUGUCAAGGACAAUACUCUAGGACAAUAAAGACCCUUUCCCUCUAAGUCUGAGGUGGUGGUCACUGGCUCUUGCUGCAUGUCAGCAUCUCCCUAUCACCCAGGCCUGCCCCAUCCCCAGGUGGCUUUGCCAGUUGAUUCUCUGCUUCCCCCUGGUGGCUGCUCCACACUGUGGGCUGAGAGCUCAGGGACUUCCGGGGUCUAGGUGUGGAUUCAGAACCUGCUGCUCAGGUCCUUGAUGCCCUGAUCCGUGGGCUGCUGGUUCCAGGGGAGGAAUUCCUCUUCUCUGUGUGGCCCCUGCCUGACUCAAGACCAGGUACAAGGGGCUCAGCU
rnacentral:lncRNA from 1 species